rnacentral:rRNA from 1 species
UGGUGGAGUGAUUUGUCUGGUUAAUUCCGUUAACGAACGAGACCUUAACCUGCUAAAUAGCUACAUUAAACUUUCAGUUUGAUGGGAAGCUUCUUAGAGGGACUUUGCGUGUUUAACGCAAGGAAGUUUGAGGCAAUAACA